CAUUGAAACACCAGUUCCCAUAUGAUCACCAAAGUUAAGCAAUGUUGAGCUUGGUCAGUACCUAGAUGGGUGACCACUAAGGAAUAUUAUGUGCUA